UGGAUAGGAAAUGCUUUGUAGUCGGGAAAGAAAGGUUUGGUGUUGUAAACACGAGGCAAAUGUUCCGAUAAUGGGGGUCUCCUAGGAGUACUCCGCAAAAGAUUUUAAUCGCUACAAAUUAGCCUGUUUAGGAUUAGAUAGUUGGUGAGGUAAAAGCUUACCAAGUCGAAGAUCCUUAGUCGGUUUGAGAGAAUGAUCGGCCACACUGGAACUGAGAAAGGUCCAGCAUCCAUUAGGAUGCAGCAGUGGGGAAUAUUGGACACUCUGCGAAAGCUGGAUCCAGCAAUAUUGCGUGAGUGA
rnacentral:rRNA from 1 species